UACGUAGGGUGCGAGCGUUAAUCGGAAUUACUGGGCGUAAAGCGUGCGCAGGCGGUUUUGUAAGACAGGCGUGAAAUCCCCGGGCUUAACCUGGGAAUGGCGCUUGUGACUGCAAAGCUGGAGUGCGGCAGAGGGGGAUGGAAUUCCGCGUGUAGCAGUGAAAUGCGUAGAUAUGCGGAGGAACACCGAUGGCGAAGGCAAUCCCCUGGGCCUGCACUGACGCUCAUGCACGAAAGCGUGGGGAGCAAACAGG
rnacentral:rRNA from 1 species